rnacentral:rRNA from 1 species
GACGAACGCUGGCGGCGUGCCUAAUACAUGCGAGUCGAACGCUUUUUCUUUCACCGGAGCUUGCUCCACCGGAAGAAAAAGAGUGGCGAACGGGUGAGUAACACGUGGGUAACCUGCCCAUCAGAAGGGGAUAACACUUGGAAACAGGUGCUAAUACCGUAUAACACUAUUUUCCGCAUGGAAGAAAGUUGAAAGGCGCUUUUGCGUCACUGAUGGAUGGACCCGCGGUGCAUUAGCUAGUUGGUGAGGUAACGGCUCACCAAGGCAACGAUGCAUAGCCGACCGGAGGGGGUGAUCGGCCACACGGGGACUGAGACACGGCCCAGACGCCGACGGGAGGCAGCAGUAGGGAAUCAUCGGCAAUGGACGAAAGUCUGACCUGGCAACGCCGCGUGAGUGAAGAAGGUGGUCGGAUCGUAAAACUCUGUUGUUAGAGAAGAACAAGGAUGAGAGUAAAAUGUUCAUCCCUUGACGGUAUCUAACCAGAAAGCCACGGCUAACUACGUGCCAGCCGCCGCCGUAA